CUUAAUUUUUUCUGAAUCAACCUGUUUCUGAAUCUACUGAAUCAAAAUUUUCAUAUUAGGGUUUGCCUCCUCUUUUCCUCUAUUAUCUCUUGAAGGUUUGUCCUGAAUCGGUGAAAAAGAGGCGAUGAAGAUCAACAACAACUAAAAUCAAAGAUUCAUCUGUAGCAACUUAAUCAAAAGAUAAGUAUCACCUCUCUUUAUCGUUUUAGUUCAAUCGAUUAAGUUAUCCAAGUCUAAUUGAAAUUUCAGAAGAUUUUUUUUUUGAAGUUAGCAAACUUAAAAGCUUUGAUUUCAUCUCAAUUCUCUUUUUUAAUUCAUUGCCAGUUUGUGCAUUUGUCCAUUUUUAUUUAUUUAUUUGUUUUCUUAGUUUUCUUUUAUUGAUUGUGUUUAUUCUCUUUUCAUUCAGCCAUCAAAGGAGUAGAAAGCUCCACCACAUCUUCAAAUCCAGCUAAAUCUGGUGGUGGUAAACAACAGAAGAAGAUGAAUUCAUGAUUAAAUCUACAUUGGGUUCUUCUUUUAUGUUGAAUUUAAGUUUUUUACUUUAAUCAAUGAGUUGUUUUGUCUUGUGAUUUCUACAGAAUUGGAUCAAAAGAAAGGAAAAGGAGAAGGUUCACAUCAUUCUCUUGUUUGAUCAACCUAGGGUUUAAUCUGUGGUUUUCUUUAUAAGAUCAUUACUUCAGCUGAUUUAGUAAAUAUGAUGCCUUUUCUGUUUAAUAAUUAUGGGUUUGCUUUGUUACUAGAUUAGGGUUCCUGUGUUGGAAUUAUAUGUUGUUACAGUUUUGAUAAAAAUGGGGUUUUUGAGUUGCAUUGGUUUUUUUUUUGUGUUGCAUCAGUUAGAGAAAUCUUUAGUUAACCGCUUUCCUACUGUUUCGUGGUUGGCAUAUUCACCAUUUUUCGUAUGUUUUCAUUGGUAGGAAGUUGUAGAGAAAAAGCUCGCAAUGAGGAUGGUCGGCCUCUGUGAGUCUCGAUGCUAAUCUAAAUAGAAAUAAAGUGUGUUUUUGAUGCCUUUUUUGUAACAGUUUUGAAAAUUUGUUUAAUGGGAUUGUUGAUACAGGACAUCGGUAUGACAAAGUAUGUAUUGGCAUUAAUAGGUCAUUUAGAUUCAUGCUUUUGAUCAUUCCCAUGGGUAAGUAAAGCGUUCUCCAUCCUAUUUCAGUUUGCUAGCUUUGCAAGUAUGUAUUGGCAUUAGUGGGUCAUUUAGAUUCAUGCUUUUGAUCAUUCCCAUGGGUAAGUUAAGCGUUCUCCAUCCUAUUUCAGUUUGCUAGCUUUACUUUUGGGCGUCUAGUAUUUGGAAUUCUCAUUAAACUAGUCUCGUGUUGUAUGUUUUCAUUAGGGUCCAUGAUAGCGUGCAAAUUUGCAGCCAUUCCUUUAGUUUGUAAAAAGCUAUUCUCUGCAGAGAGAUGUAGUGAGAGGUUGCAAUGCGGCAAAUCCAUCUAGUUUAGUUUGGUAAACAUACAAUGUCACCCUGAGUGAAUAUUUAUUAUUAGCUAUAUUGUUGUGGCAGAGGAUACUUUUAAUAUUGAAAUUAUUUUGCUUCUUCAGAUUGAAGCCGAAUGUUAUCCGUUGCACUCUUUUUUCUUUUUUUAUGCAAAGACUCCUGAGUUCAUAUUUUUUUUAAGCAAAGACUGCAGAUUGAAGAGAGCCAUUGAUUUGGACAUUCACUACAUGAAGAGGAAGACUAUAUGGGCCAAGCCAUCAACUAAUAGUUGUUACUCUAAGAGAUUCCCAGGAACUCACCCCACCCAUACCCACACCCACCCCUUUGUGCAGCUCGGAUGAUGAUUCUGACGAUUCUUGGAAUGGUUGGUUAGUUGCAGGUGAUGUUUGGUGUUCUGAAUGUGAGUUUUAUUGUUAAUUAUGUAGUAUCAUGCUUCUGAUAUUUGUAUUCAUUUCAGUGUUGGAGGUAUUUUUGAGGAGCUCGUCCUGGAAUAACUCUGCCUACAUAAGAAUGCUCAUGUUUUUAUCCCCUAAACAUCUAAAUAUUAUUCACGUUCUUACUUUGUCGUGCUAACAGGAACAAAUACUCGUAUACCAAAGCCUGUUUUAAGAGAUGGUAUUCAGGAGUGAUUAUAUCUGUUCAAACUCUUUCCUAUUAGAGAUUUUGGUUGUCAUAAAUCGUCUCUACUUCUAUGGUUUGUUGUAAGUAACUAUUUGAACAUGUUGAAUUAUGAUGUAUCAUGAGAAUCUCAAUUGCAGCUAACCCAAAUGGUACUCAUCCUUACUGGUUACUAGUUUAUUUGGAUUUUCAAUUGGCUGGUGCGGUACCAGAAACGUAGAAAUGGUGGAGGAUCUUUACAAUGUGAACAAGGUAAGCUUGAUCCUUCAACCUAAAUCGAGUGUUGCCUGGUAGCCUUCAUUUUUUGUUAUGUAGGUUUUAGCUUUCGUGAGUUCCUUAAAGUUUCCCCGUGUUUAAGUAUUCACAUUCCAUUUCCUCUUUUUAGUGUAUGUAAGUUCUUUUUCAGCCUGUCCUCUUUUAUUGAAGACUAAACUAUGUUGGAUACACUUAGUUUUUUGCCUAAGUACCUAAGCAUACUAUCAAAAUACAUUCUUACAAUUAAAAUCUUAUUCCAUUGUUAAUCUUUCUUUACUAUGUUUAUAGUUACAUGUACAUUAGCAGAAGGCCCUUUUUCUCCUUUUUUUUGCGUGGCUUGCAAUUAUAAUUUGUAUCUUUAAAAGAUUUACUGACAGUUUCCUGCUUAUAUUAUCGUUUCGUAGGCUGGUACUGCUCAUUUGAUGGUAUUCUCUUGCAUAUAUGUAACACCACUAAAAAUAUCCGUUCGUAUCCGAAACUGAACUCAACCCAUUUUAGUGGGAAGCUAAAACGAUAGAGAGUGCGCGUGCGAUUCUAAUGUAGGGUGUAUGUAGAUGUGGUGAGUGCCCUAAACUAGAUAUGGGUGUUUCUAGCUAAAUAAGCCAUCUCUUAGCAAUAUUAGGGUGCACGUGCAUUUUUUAGCCGGAGUUAGUAAAAACUCUGAGUGCUUUGAGCAUGGUUGACACGUUUCUAACAUGAGAGUAAUUGAUGGUAUUGUAGUCUUUUCUUCACUAUGAUCAACAAUUUAAAAAGAUGAAACUCAUUUUUCUUGUAAAUUCCGACCGUCUCUUCUUUUACAAUUAAACACCCUGUUCUUUCCUAACCAACUCCAGUAGAGGAAGUUUUUGAAUUGUGAAAGAAAAAUGGAAUGUUCCUCGUCCUCCGUUUUCGGUUAAGGAACACAAAGGUAGGGGUUUUCUUUCUCUUUAAUUUCUACCUCAAAAUUAUGCCAACGGGUCUGGAAUCUUGUUUACCUCUUGUGUUUAAAUUCUUGCAACUUUUCUGUGAUUAUAAUGCAUCUUGUUCUUGGGUGUGAAUCUAAAUACAAAUAAUUUGAUUUUGUUGUUUUUCUGUUGCAUAGGUCAUGAAUUUUAAAUGAAAUUUUAAAACAGAAAAUGGUGUUCAUAUUUGGGCUGUAACUUGUUUGAUAAAAUGUUUAAGUGGAGUUCCUUUCUUAAUGUGUGAAAAUCAAUUUGCAUGGAAAAUGGCUUAAUUUCUUUAAAUGGGAAAUCCCUGAACUUUGUUAGCUUCACUUUUAAGCUAACCAAUUUACAUACGAUUUUUGGUUUAAGCUAUCCAUGCAUGCCUUUUACUGAUUUUGCACUUGGCAUGAAAUCAUCCCUUUUCUAUGCAUUUCUCUCUGUGAAUUUUCCUUCCGUGAAUUAAAUUGAUCUGAACUGUCAGUAGCUUGAUUUCGUUUCCUUGGGAAAUCUCUUACUUGCGCAUUUUUACCAAAUGGGUACUUAAAUCCUCCAUUAUCAAAAUGAUUUAUGAAAAACCAAUGGAUGGGUAUUUGUAAGGCAUGUCACUGUUUCAAACUAUCCAUGCACUUUUGUUAAUUUUUGCACUAGAUAUUCUCUGUGAACUGAAACGGAAAUGAUUCCAAAUGUUAAUCAAGGAUUUUAUGAAGAUUAGAUAUGGCUUGCAUCCAUCUGUGUACUUGUUUUUCUACUACUACUCUUUUUGUUAUGACUUGCAUGUUCUUAAAGUUCACCUUAACCUUGGAUUUUGGUGUUUAACUCAGUUUUGGAUGCUACUGACACUUCCUAAAUAUUAUUUUUGUGAAUUUCUGUUGUAGUAAAAAGGAAAUGAAUUUCAAUUGGCUGAGCAUUUGGUUUUAAAACUUACUUAUGAAAAAGUUAGUUUUCACUUUGUACUGAAUAUUUAUGAUAUCUCCCUCAAUGACAUCUUUCUCAAAUCUUUUAAAUGUAUCAGUAUCCUCUACUUGAUUUUGAAAUAUUUCCCUUAGGCUUUAUACCCGGUGUUGGUUGAAAUGGAAAUUUCGUACUUCAUUUCUCAAUCAUAGCUCUUGUUAUAACUUGUGUAUGAUCAUAUGUUCUCUAUGGGUGUUUGAAUUCUUUUAGUCGUUAGCUAGAUCUAUGACUGUGUUGCUUAUAACUUGGUUUGAUGAGAUUUGAUUUCACAGUUACGGUUUCACCUUGGAGUUACUUGUGUUUACCGUAUGAUUUGCUUAUAGCAUGUUUUGAAGAAUUUUGGAAGGCUACAGGUGAGUUUGUUACGCCCAUAGGGGCAUCCCACAAAUGUGGCUACCCGCGGAAGACCGUCCAGGACGGUGGCUGAUAUCCUGACUAUCCUAACAUUAGAGACUGGUCCUCACAAGUAGCGUAUGUGAAUUUCUUCACUAUCGGUUGGAAAAUAUUUCGUUUGAAUUGUUUCGAAUGGAUGUUGAUUUGUCAAGCUUUAUACAUUUCUGAGUUUGGACAUGCUCAUUUCUUUAGCUUGACUUAUAUAUUGUUUAUUUUUACAUUGGCGCAUUAUUUACGUAACUCCUACUGGGUUGUGGCUCACCCCGUUUUGGUUUUGUUUUCCCACAGAGUACGAAGCAAGGAUGAGGAGCUUGCAGCCGGGAGCUUGAGCAAAAAUUGGUAUUUUUGCUUAUCUAUAAUGUGUAUAUCACGGGGUUAUCUGGGUAGUUUAUUUUGCUGUUAUCCCAUGCUAUUUUGACGUGCUUUGUUCUUGUAUAUAAGAUGGGACCGAGUAGAAAGUCUUUGCUAUGUUAAGAACAAGUGGUCUGAUCUCAGGGGUGUACUGGAUGCUUUGAAACUUCUCUUGCUGUCUAGCGUCUAUGUAUUACUGGUCGGUCCUAUAUGUAUAUAGCCACUUUUAUGAUUUCCACUGACGAAUCACCAAACCUCUUUCCAUGUUUUGACUAUAUUUCCAACUGAGGCAGAAAUAGUAUGGAUACUUGGUUUGUUUUGUUCAAUGGGUACAUGAUACGUACUACUUGUCCCAACUUAUACUAAUAUGAACUUGUUUGUCGAAGUUGAGACAUUUACGGUGUAUUAUUUAAUGUACUAGUUGCGUAUACUCAUCUUUCUUAUGCAAUUUCAUUUCUUUUUGUAAAUGUAAAUUUAACCAGUAUGUAGCUUGCCUUGUGAAUCUAAGUGUGUGUUCUGUUCAAUUUUCCUAUAAAUGUCGUUUAGCUUAGUCCCUCCUCAUUGGCCUGACAUAUUUUUUUUUGUGGUCAAACCAAUAUCCUUACUUCCUUGUGAUCCUGUUGAUCAGCCUUUUUAUUUGAGAGUAUUUUAAAUUCUCUUCUUUAGCUUACUUUAUAACUAGCUUUCUAGUAAGAGUAUUGAGGUUGGUUCUUACUAACUUUUGGCAGCUGAGCUUUUGUUUUCACUUCAGACGGCGUAUUAAGCUUCAGAUUUUUGAUUUUAUUUUUGGGCAUACUACUACAUUUCCUGAGCAUGAUAGAAAUGUUUAAUCUCCUUUACAAGUUUUGAAACUUAAGUCUACAAUUUGCUCUGUACUUAAAACUCUUAUGUGCAAUAUAGCAUUACGCUGGAUACCAGGAGGUCUAGAAUUUCUAUUUUAGAAAAAUGAAAUAAAAAUUGUUCACGACAAGUGAUUUUUAUUUUCUUGUUUCCCAUCAGCCUUUAGGCUUGUAUCUUUAGCUGUUUGAAUUCUGAAGUGGGCAUAUAUUAUUUUUUUUUUUACUGUUAUAUUUUCAUUCGAGUGACGUACCGGGGAUUCGGCUCUGCUAAUCGGGUUGAAAUCAACCCGUUAGAGGGGGAAUUCUUUGGUCCGUUACAAUAUAUGUUUAAUCUCACAGUUUUGAACAGUUUUGUGUCAAUUUUACAAAUGCGAAACUACAACAACAUUCCAAUCAGGUGGUAUUAAAGUUGGAUCAUAUAAAUGGUAAUAGAUGCAGGUCUAGUGAGUGAGGAUCUCAAUUGGUGAAGUUUGUGGAUUUUCUCCUAAGACUUCUAUUAGAUCUCAAUUUCUUCAUUAGUUGUGGACUUGAUAUUUUACAUAGGCAAAGUACAUGUCCUUUGAAUUAUAAUUUAAAUGGAUACUUGUAUGUGUAGUGGUAGGGUAUGCUGGUCUCCAGUAGAUUCCUCUUCUUUUCUCCCCAUUUUUUACUUUUAAUUGUUGUAGUCUUGGUUUUUCUGUUUGCAGCUUAGGGCUGGAAUGAUGGACCUGAUUUGAGCUAGUUUGUCAGAAGAUGAAGGCAUAGAUGGUGAAGCCUUACCUUCCAACUUACUGUUGAAACUUUAUGGGUGUAAAUCGUGUAAUGGGAAUAUUGGUUAAAGUUUUUCCAACUUAGUGUUAGAAGUUUUCGAGCCUUGGAACUCGCAGUAUAUUAGAUAGGUGAAAUUGUAAACGAAAUACACUUUAAUAUAAAUUGAGUUUUCAAGUCGUUAUCAAUUUAAUUUAAAUUCAGU